AUGGCGCACGCAUCUGGGUUCUGCCCGCCGCCGUCAUACACCCCGGGUGCGUCCCAGUGCGCCCCCUUCUUCCUGGGCUUCGGCGGCGACUUCUGCGACCCGUCGUUCUCCGACUACUACGACUACCAGGAGUACGCCCCAUCGAGCCCUUCGCCGCUCGCCAGCUCCAAGGACUACUACACUCCAUCGAGCCCUGACUACAGUCCGGCGAGCCCCGACUACAGUCCGGCGAGCCCGGAUUACACUCCCGCGAGCCCCGACUACACGCCGGCGAGCCCUGACUACAGUCCGGCGAGCCCCGACUACACUCCGGCGAGCCCGGACUACACUCCCGCGAGCCCCGACUACACGCCGGCGAGCCCGGACUACACUCCGGAGAGCCCCGACUACACUCCAUCAAGCCCAGACUACACUCCGGCGAGCCCUGACUACAAUCCAUCAAGCCCAGACUACACUCCGGCGAGCCCUUCACCGUCGCUGGUGUACACUUCGUCAAGCCCUGUUCGGCUCGCUUUCAUGAUGCCGUCUCCUCCGUCAGAGCACGCUGGUACAUCACCUUACUAUACUCCGUUGAGUCCUCCCGGUCCCGGGCACGCUUCUUCGCCGGAUUACACGCCCAGCACGCCGCCUCCGUCGCCCCUGGUGGUGUCUGACGCCGAGUCGUGCGCGUCGCCGUAUUACACACCGUCAACUCCUUCCAGGAGCGCCGAGUCGCCGGACUACAUGCCCAGCACGCCGCCUCCAUCGCCCCUGGCGUCAGAAGCAGAGUCGACCACGUCUACAGCGUGCUGCCGCCACCAUCCGUACCAGAGGAGCGGCGCCGGCCGGAUCAACCGCGGCGGACGUCAGCGAGCCUUGGCAUAUUGA
rnacentral:rRNA from 1 species